UUUUCUCUCUCUCUCUGCAAAAGCGUCUCUCUCUCUACACUCUCUCUCUCUCGCUCUCCCUACCCCUUUCUGUCUCUCUUCCGGCGGUGGUACGAGGUGAGGGCGGCGGAAGACAUAGAUCUCGCGGCGGCCGAGGGCGGCGAUCCUUGCGACCUGCUGCUGUCUGGCCAAAGAAGGGACGAAGGGGUGAUGUCUGUUGAAAAAUCGCAAACUUUAAUGCGAUUUUACCAAUAAUUUUGAAGGAUUCGGAAUAUUUGUAGCGUUAAUUGUGAAUCUGCAUACUGUAGCUGUUUUUCGUAUCAGUGGAUUUGAGUAUUGAUCGGCUUAAUUUGUUUUGAUUUUCUUGAUAUUUGUCUAGCUAUUCUUCAAUCGGUGUAGUUUUCUUGUUUAUAUCGACGUUCAAAUCUAACCGCAUCGUUUUCAAACUUUUCCGCUUCUGUAGAGAAAGGUUAGUCCACCCUAGCUAAAUAGAAUUUGAAGGCAUGGCAAAAGUUAGAGAUAGAACUGAGGAUUUUAAGGAUUCUGCACGCCGAGCUGCGAGUUAGAAAUUGGAGAGAUUUUGGUUUCUGUGGUUUAAAAGGCACGAGUUUGACACCUAUCCCAAGAAAAUGAUGUGUGAUAUGAAGAAUAGUAGUUUUUGUUGUUAAUGUUCUUGAAUUCACAACUAGAUUUAUGAAUUCACAACUUAAUGU
rnacentral:lncRNA from 1 species